rnacentral:rRNA from 1 species
AUUGAACGCUGGCGGGAGGCUUAACACAUGCAAGUCGAACGAGCGGCGGACGGGUGAGUAAUGUCUGGGAACCUGCCUGAUGGAGGGGGAUAACUACUGGAAACAGUAGCUAAUACCGCAUACCAUCAGAUGUGCCCAUAUGGGAUUAGCUAGUAGGUGGGGUAAUGGCUCACCUAGGCGACGAUCCCUAGCUGGUCUGAGAGGAUGACCAGCCACACUGGAACUGAGACACGGUCCAGACUCCUACGGGAGGCAGCAGUGGGGAAUAUUGCACAAUGGGCGCAAGCCUGAUCCAGCCAUGCCGCGUGUGUGAUGAAGGCCUUCGGGUUGUAAAGUACUUUUAGCGAGGAAGCGUUACCCGCAGAAGAAGCACCGGCUAACUCCGUGCCAGCAGCCGCGGUAAUUC